ACUCCUACGGGAGGCAGCAGUGGGGAAUAUUGCACAAUGGGCGCAAGCCUGAUGCAGCAACGCCGUGUGAGUGAAGAAGGUUUUCGGAUCGUAAAACUCUGUCCUAAGGGAAGAAACAAAUGACGGUACCUUAGGAGGAAGCCCCGGCUAACUACGUGCCAGCAGCCGCGGUAAUACGUAGGGGGCAAGCGUUAUCCGGAAUCACUGGGGCGUAAAGGGUGCGUAGGCGGCUUAGCAAGCCAGGGGUGAAAGGCAUUGGCUCAACCAAUGUAAGCCUUUGGAACUGUUAAGCUUGAGUGCAGGAGAGGUAAGUGGAAUUCCUAGUGUAGAGGUGAAAUUCGUAGAUAUUAGGAGGAACACCAGUGGCGAAGGCGACUUACUGGACUGUAACUGACGCUGAUGCACGAAAGCGUGGGUAGCGAACAGGAUUA
rnacentral:rRNA from 1 species